UACGAAGGGGGCUAGCGUUGCUCGGAAUCACUGGGCGUAAAGGGUGCGUAGGCGGGUCUUUAAGUCAGGGGUGAAAUCCUGGAGCUCAACUCCAGAACUGCCUUUGAUACUGAAGAUCUUGAGUGCGGGAGAGGUGAGUGGAACUGCGAGUGUAGAGGUGAAAUUCGUAGAUAUUCGCAAGAACACCAGUGGCGAAGGCGGCUCACUGGCCCGAUACUGACGCUGAGGCACGAAGGUCAGGGGAGCAAACGGG
rnacentral:rRNA from 1 species